GAUUGGGAAUUAUGUCAUCAAAUCUUUAAAUAACAUUCUCAAAUAUUUUUGUUGUAGCACACUUUUCAUAAAGCACAUACCAGUGGCACUUUGUAAAUUCAAAGUAAUUGAUUGUAUAACUUACUAUCUGGAUAAUUAGAUAUAUAUUUAUGAAUACCGUAUUGCAUUUUAACGUCCCGUUUGUGUAACUUGUGGACUGUUAUAUCGUCGAAGAAGGCAACUUAAAGAUGCCAAAAGUCAAGUCUCUUUGCGAAGUGUUUGAGAAAAGAGAAGACCAAGAAACAAGUCCGGAGAAGCAAGACUUGCCAAGAAAAAAGAUCGAAAUACGUGAAAACCCAGACAUAAAAUCAACGAAGGAGGCUAGACAAAGGGCUGGAAAGCCACCUUUAUUGCCAAAGCCACCUGGACUUGCAAAAACAACAAACCUAAGAAAGCCUGGGCAG